AUUGAACGCUGGCGGCAGGCCUAACACAUGCAAGUCGAACGAGUGGCGGACGGGUGAGUAAUGUCUGGGAAACUGCCUGAUGGAGGGGGAUAACGACUGGAAACGGUAGCUACUACCGCAUAACAUCAGUUCUGCCCUGAUGGUAUUGGCUUGUUGGGGGGGUAACGGCUCACCAAGGCGACGAUCCCUAGCUGGCCUGAGAGGAUGACCAGCCACACUGGAACUGAGACACGGUCCAGACUCCUACGGGAGGCAGCAGGGGGGAAUAUUGCACAAUGGACGCAAGCCUGAGGCAGCAAUGCCGCGUGUAUGAAGAAGGCCUUCGGGUUGUAAAGUUCUUUCAGCGGGGAAGCGUUACCCGAAGAAGAAGCACCGGCUAACUCCGUGCCAGCAGCCGCGGUAAUUC
rnacentral:rRNA from 1 species